GCAGCAGCGUCAGUGUCCUGAGUGAAUAUACAUGAACACAAGCCCACUUUUAUCACAAGUCACCAAAACAAGGACUCUUCUUUUACUGGGGUGAAAAAAAGAAAGCCUUUUUUUCUCUGUCAGUGGAUGUUAAUGUUUUUGUCUACUGCUGCUGUGACUUCUUCCAUCAGUUUUCCAUCCACUGGCAUGCACGACUUUUUGCAUUUCUUUUGCCCAAGGCACCAUCUGGAGAGCCCCAUCACCAUGACAGUCACUGGCGUGAACAGACUGCCAAGUUAUUGGUGUCUGGAAGUUGAUGGACUCCAACUCCACAUUCUUGGACCUGCACUUUACUUUGUGUAGCCUCACAACAAAGACUACUGUCACAGGCUGCACUCAUUAGAGAUGAUAUCAUGGACUAUCUGGCUAACAGCAAGGUUUCUUAACAUUUCAGUUUGAAGACUGACCUGCUGUUUUGUCCAGAAAGUAUGCCAACAGGCAGCGCAUGACAGCUUGAUGACAGAUGACCAG